CAGAGGUUGUUUCUUUCAUGGCAGAGUUCAACCCAGAUGAGUUCCUGGUUGGAGACAACAACAUGAAAAUCAUUGAACUGACUGACAAUGCUGCAUGAUGAGGGAUUUCUGUGCUUAUCCCUCUUGGAAGAAGCGGUUCUAUACUUAACAAUACUCUUCCUCCAGUUAUCCCACUUCUGAACUGGUCACAAGCCUUCAGAACUUUGAAAGGGUUUCUUCUGUGAGUGGCACCCACAAUUCUAUGAGUUUUUCAGGUUAUGUACAUCUCAACAACUCUACACGAGGUUGGACUUUGACUUCCCUCCAGAUCUCUGUUACUUAGUCAUGUGACAUUGCAUCAUAGUUACAUCAAUAUCAGAUGCUUCUGAUGUUAACUCUUUACCAUUUCUGAUGUUGAUGUUACACCGCCACUACUUCCUGGUUUCAGGAGCCUUCUUUAUUAUGAUUUUCAACUUUGAUGAUGCCUGAUUUCUCAAGUCAAAAGGCGCAUAUGAAUACUUCCAAAAUUUAAAGUAAA